GUGCUCAUUUCAGCAGCACAUAUACUAAAAUUGGAAAAUACAGAGAUUAGCACGGCUCUUGCACAAGGAUGGCCGCAAAUUCCUGGAGCGUUCUGUAUUUUU